rnacentral:misc_RNA from 1 species
AAAAUAAUCCUACCCUUUGUGAAUUUUGUUUGUUUGAAUAAUUUUUUUUUUUUAAAAAAUUAUUGGAGUCUUUCCCUUUAGAGUUUGCUUUUGAGUUUGUAAAAGAAUUCGAAAACAUCUAAAGGGGAUGGUCAAUAAUUUUUUUUGAAAAAAGACAUUUUUUAAAAUUAAACUUUUUGUAUUCAUUUGUCUAAAAAUUAUUUUUAUAAUAUAAAAACAACUUUUGACAAUGGAUCUCUUGGUUCUCGCAACGAUGAAGAACGCAGCAAAAUGCGAUAAGUAGUGUGAAUUGCAGAAUACGUGAAUCAUCGAAUCUUUGAACGCAUAUUGCACUUUUUUAGUUUACUAAAAAAGUAUGUCUGUUUGAGUAUCAGUAAAAUAUUCUCAUAAAAAUCAUUGUGUAUUUUUAUGGUUAUGAGUGUUUUACAACGAUACAAGUUGUUUCACUUUAAAUUUUUUUUUUAAUAUUGAAAUUUUUCUAAUUUUAAUAAUUAAAAUUGGAUAAAAUUUUCCCGUCAAAAGGAAUAACCUAAACAAUUUUAAAUGAUUAAUUUUAGCAAAAUUUUCGAAAAAGGAAAGUUUUUAUUAAAAUAACUUGAUCUCAAAUCAGAUAAGAGUACCCGCUGAACUUAAGCAUAUCAAUAAGCGGAGGAAAAGAAACUAACAAGGAUUCCCUUAGUAACGGCGAGUGAAGCGGGAAGAGCUCAAAUUUGAAAUCUUCAAGGUUUUACCUUGACGAAUUGUAGUUUAAAGAAGUGUUUUCUGUUGAAGUUUUGGUAAAAGUUCUUUGGAAUAGGACAUCAUAGAGGGUGAGAAUCCCGUAUUUGACCAUUAUUUUCAGCUUUGUGAUACACUUUCAAAGAGUCGGAUUGUUUGGGAAUGCAGUCCAAAAUGGGUGGUAAAUUUCAUCUAAAGCUAAAUAUUGGCGAGAGACCGAUAGCGAACAAGUACCGUGAGGGAAAGAUGAAAAGAACUUUGAAAAGAGAGUUAAACAGUACGUGAAAUUGUCAAAAGGGAAGCGUUUGACACCAGUGUUGUUUUCUCGAAAAUCAAUUAAAAAUGGCUCGAUUUUGUAUUGCCGAGACCUUAAAAGCUCACUGUACAUUUUUCGUGUCUUUUUUAAUGCACUUUUCGUUUAACAAGUCAACAUCAGUUUCUUUUGUUGUAAAAGGGUCAUUGGAAGGUGGCUUUCUUUUCGGAGAAAGUGUUUAUAGCCUUUGGCCUCUGCAAUCGGAGAGACUGAGGUCUGCAGCGUAGACUCUUCGGGGUUAGAUACAUUUGUGCUAAGUUAUAGCUUUUUAUAGACAACUUGUUGACUAUAAUUAGUCUUGUAGCUUACUCGCUCAUGCUAUUUUACCUACGCUUA